CUUUUGUCAUCUCUUCUUUCGACAUCUUUUUGCGAUAAGUUUUGUUGCCAACAAAGGUAUUUUAGUCUUUUCCAAUACUCUAUACAUGUUGUUACCCUCCUGUCUCCUCCAUAUGUUGUGUUUGUGUAUUGAUUCAUCACCACCCUUUUUCUUUCUAUCUACUCGAAUUUUCAUCCAAAAAAAAAACAGAUGAGGUCGACGCGGCUGGAGAAGAGAACCGAGAAAACAUAUAUCGUCCUUUUUGAACCUAUAGAUCCGGAGUUAUAGCGUUAUUCACUUCCAACAAGAAGCUUAUAGAUUUCCCCACCAUCACCUUCGGUUCUUGCAAUAGGUACCUCUGGUGAUCGCGGGAAGGCGAAGGCAUGAUCGUACCGCUCCUCCUGCUAUUAUGAUUUUUAUGAUUUGAUACUGGGAUACUCUGAUAAUUAGUAAUUUGAAAACAAACUAUGUAAUAUUAAAUGGUUUAAGUGUUUUGGAAAAGUUUAAAUUUGGCUUGAAUUUU